UUAAAUUAGUAAGGGCGCAUGGCGGAUGCCUUGGCACUAGAAGCUGAUGAAGGACGUGACGAACAACGAUAUGCUUCGGCGAGCUGUAAGUAAGCUUUGACCCGGAGAUUUCCGAAUGGGGAAACCCAGCAGUAGUAAUGUACUGUUAUCCUAUCAUGAAUACAUAGUGAUAGAGAAAGCAACCUGGCGAACUGAAACAUCUUAGUAACCAGAGGAAAAGAAAGAAAAAUCGAUUCCCUUAGUAGUGGCGAGCGAAAAGGGAUUAGCCCAAACCAAUCUUCGGAUUGGGGUUGUAGGACCUCUAUAUAAGAGUUACAAAUUCUUUUUAUAGUUGAAUUCAAUGGAAAGUGAAACCAUAGUAGGUGAAAGUCCUGUAAACGAAAUAAAAAGAACUCUUUGAGGUAUCCUGAGUACAACGGAUCACGUGGAACUCUGUUGGAAUCCGCGGGGACCAUCCCGCAAGGCUAAAUACUCUCUAGUGACCGAUAGUGAACAAGUACCGAGAGGGAAAGGUGAAAAGAACCCCGGGAGGGGAGUGAAAUAGAAUACUGAAACCAUGUGCUUACAAAAAGUCAAAGUCCGUUAAUGGAUGAUGGCGUGCCUUUUGCAGAAUGAACCGGCGAGUUAAUGUUGCAUGCGAGGUUAAGUUGAAGAGACGGAGCCGUAGCGAAAGCGAGUCUUAAUAGGGCGAAUUAGUAUGUAGUAUUAGACCCGAAACCGAGUGAUCUAGCCAUGAGCAGGUUGAAGUUUAGGUAAAACUAAAUGGAGGACCGAACCGACGUACCCGGAAACGUGCGCGGAUGACUUGUGGCUAGCGGUGAAAUUCCAAACGAACUCGGAUAUAGCUGGUUCUCCCCGAAAUAGGUUUAGGCCUAGCCUUGAGAUUUAGCACUGUGGAGGUAGAGCACUGAAUAUAUGAUGGCCCCGUCUAGGGGUACUGAAUGUAAUCAAACUCCGAAUGCCAUGGUUGUAUGCUCAGGAGUCAGCGUAUGGGUGAUAACGUCCAUGCGCGAAAGGAAAAGAGUCCGGAUCGCCAGUUAAGGUCCCAAAAUUUGUACUAAGUGGGAAAGGAUGUGGAGUUGUCAAAACAGCUAGGAGGUUGGCUCAGAAGCAGCCAUCCUUUAAAGAGUGCGUAAUAGCUCACUAGUCGAGUGACACUGCGCCGAAGAUGUACCGGGGCUAAGUACAAUACCGAAACUGCGGAUUCACAUUUAUAUGUGAGUGGUAGGGGAGCGUUCCAAGUUGAGUUGAAGGUAGACCGUGAGGACUGCUGGAUUACUUGGAAGUGAGAAUGCCGGUGUGAGUAGCGCAAGAUGGGUGAGAAUCCCAUCCACCGUUUGACUAAGGGUUCCUGGGGCAGGUUCGUCCGCCCAGGGUUAGUCGGGUCCUAAGACGAGGCCGAGAGGCGUAGCCGAUGGACAACAGGUUGAUAUUCCUGUACUACCUAUAAGACUGAUGGAGUGACGGAGAAGGUUAGGAAAAGCCAGUUAUUGGAUUCUGGUCUAAGCACAAAGGCUUAUAAAUUAGGAAAUCUGUUUAUAAUUAAGCUGAAGUGUGAUGGUGAAGUCGCUUGCGACGAAAUUUUCUGACACCAUGCUUCCAAGAAAAGCUUCUAGGGUUAAUCUUAUAGGUACCCGUACUCAGAACCGACACAGGUGGUCAAGGAGAGUAUCCUAAGGUGAGCGAGAGAACUAUGGUUAAGGAACUCGGCAAAAUAACCCCGUAACUUCGGGAGAAGGGGUGGUCACUAGAUGACCGACACUAAAGACGCCCAGGCAACUGUUUACCAAAAACACAGGUCUCUGCUAAGUCGUAAGACGAUGUAUAGGGGCUGACACCUGCCCAGUGCUGGAAGGUUAAGAGGAGUGCUUAGAUAGACGCAAGUCGAUUAUUCGAAGGUACGAAUUGAAGCCCCAGUGAACGGCGGCCGUAACUAUAACGGUCCUAAGGUAGCGAAAUUCCUUGUCAGGUAAG
rnacentral:rRNA from 1 species